rnacentral:sRNA from 1 species
GUCUGGUCCAUCGAACUCAUAUGUCAUCCUGUCGGGUGGAUAAGCCCUCUGAGAUAGUAGAUGUCGGAGAUAAAGUGUGGGUGAAGCUUAUUGGCCGAGAGAUGAAAAAUGAUAGAAUAAAAGUAUCCCUCUCCAUGAAGGUUGUCAAUCAAGGGACUGGGAAAGACCUUGAUCCCAACAACGUUAUCAUUGAGCAAGAAGAGAGGCGGAGGCGAUCCUUCCAGGAUUACACUGGGCAGAAGAUCACCCUUGAGGCUGUCUUGAACACUACCUGCAAGAAGUGUGGCUGUAAAGGCCACUUUGCAAAAGAUUGUUUCAUGCAACCAGGUGGGACCAAAUACUCUCUGAUACCUGAUGAGGAAGAGGAAAAGGAAGAGGCAAAGUCAGCAGAGUUUGAGAAGCCUGACCCUACAAGGAAUCCUUCUAGAAAAAGA